AGCAGCCGCGGUAAUUCCAGCUCCAAUAGCGUAUAUUAAAGUUGUUGCAGUUAAAAAGCUCGUAGUUGAAUUUCAGGCCUGGCUGGACGGUCCGCCCUUCGGGUGAGUACUGUCUGUGGUCGGGUCCUACCUUCUGGCGAAGCGUCAUGGCCUUAACCGGCCGUGGCGGGGAACCAGGACUUUUACUGUGAAAAAAUUAGAGUGUUCAAAGCAGGCAAAUCGCUUGGAUACAUUAGCAUGGAAUAAUGGAAUAGGACAAUGGUUCUAUUUGUUGGUUUCUAGGACCGUUGUAAUGAUUAAUAGGGAUAGUUGGGGGCAUUAGUAUUCAAUUGUCAGAGGUGAAAUUCUUGGAUUUAUUGAAGACUAACUACUGCGAAAGCAUUUGCCAAGGAUGUUUUCAUUAAUCAAGAACGAAAGUUAGGGGAUCGAAGACGAUCAGAUACCGUCGUAGUCUUAACCAUAAACUAUGCCGACUAGGAAUCGGGCGAUGUUGACAAAAUGACGCGCUCGGCA
rnacentral:rRNA from 2 species